CACAUUUCUUCUCGAGAGAUUGUCACACGUCGGAAUUCUGUUCUUCAAAAUUCUCCAUACGGUAAGCUUGACUUUGUUUGGAAUAGGGAUCUUCCACACCUUCGUACUCAUAUCAGUUUCCUCCACCGCCUCCGUAGUCUCGUUUGCUUGAUCUUUAAUAGCUUCAUAAGCAGACUUGGUUGUAAAGCCUCUCCCGAUGUCGCCACUCCAUGUCCAUCCGUCCUUGUUACCUGCACACAGA
rnacentral:lncRNA from 1 species